CUUCAUGUAAACUGGAACUGCCUGGCCAGAGGGGUCAAAUUAAGGACAGAGCAGAAGCCUGAGCCAGAGGGGCCAGAGGAGCAGCCCAGGGAGCUGUGCUGGAGGCAGAGCAGCGGCAGAGCUGAGGCAGAGAAACAAUAAAAGAACACCUGGAGGCAACUCAGUCCACCUAUGAGAAACUGCUCCUGCUUGUGAACAAAGACUGGAAGCACCUUCCUCAGAGUGCACGAGAAGAGGAGCAUAAGAGGCUGAAGAGACUAACUGACAAAGUAACAAUACUUUUAAAGGUGGAUAUAGAGCGCCACAGGCAAAGGUUUGAAGAUAAAGCUUGUCAGACACAGCCAUGUGCAUCUGUAUUGAAAAGCUCCCCCCCUGGAAGGAAAAUUGCUGUGGAGACAGAGUUACAGAAACAUAAAG